ACCCACUUUAAAAUUAAAAGGCAACUAUCUAUAGAGACAAAAAAUAAUGGAGAAGAAGAAAAUGAAUGCAGUGGCAGCCAUGGCUAUUGUGUUGAUGAUCCUUCUAUCUUCCAACACCGUCCGCGUUGCUGCUCAAGGCGUCAAUUGCUAUGACUCUUGUAACACCGCCUGUGUUGGUCUCCCAUCGAGAGAGUACCAACGUUGUGAUGAAAAGUGUCGGAUUAGGUGCGGACCAGAUGGCAAAAUUGAUACAAACCUGGGUUGAAAGUGCUGAAAUGUAUCGAGGCUAUUAUAUAUUGUAGCGGAAUUCCACAAUAAUAAUCGUAUCUUUGAUAAUAAUUUCCGGAAAAUAAACGUAACCUUUACGUGUAUGUUUAAUUACUAUUAUGAUUUCUUUCUUUUUUUCUGUAAUAGAUGCAUUUUAUAAUGGUGAAACUAUUUUCAGAAUUAUAUUUGUCAAUUUAUAGACCAAAAUA